AAAAAGACAAACCCUGGUUUCCGUGUCCAACGUUUGACCGUCCGUCUUAUUUGAAAAAAAUAUAAAAAAAAUUAAAAAGACAAGUCACAUAUAAAAUAUUAAUCAUGUUUUAUCAUCUAACAACAAUAAAAAUACGAAUUAUAAAAAAAUUUCAUAUAAGACGGACAGUCAAAGUUGGACACGGAAACCCAGGGUUUGCCUUUUU
rnacentral:pre_miRNA from 1 species